AGUCACUGACAUUAGAUACCCGGGUAGUCCAGGGUGUAAACGCUGCAGACUUGGUGUUGGAAGUCCUUUGGGGGCAUUCAGUGCCGGAGAGAAGUUGUUAAGUCUGCUACUUGGGGAGUACGUCCGCAAGGAUGAAACUUAAAGGAAUUGGCGGGGGAGCACCGCAACGGGAGGAGCGUGCGGUUUAAUUGGAUUCAACACCGUAAACUCACCAGGGAAGACUGUUACAUGAAAGCCGAGAUGAAGACUCUGCUAGAUUUUCAG
rnacentral:rRNA from 1 species